GCCGGCCCUGCGGGUCCCUAGUUCCGGGGAGCAGAGACGGGACUCGCUGGCCUGGGCGGCUGUAGGGCCCUGGAAGCACCAAUCCGCCCCGGCCCUGCGGGCUGGCUCCUGCCGCUCCGCCCCACCACUGGGGCUGGAGCCGCCGCCGCCUCCCGCGGCCCGUCAGCCCCAGCCGCGCCGAUGCCACGUGGGAAGCGGAGGAGCCGCCGCCGGCGCCGGCCUGGAGCCCCGGGCCCCCCCCAGGCGCAGGGGGCGCCGCUGGCGGGGCGCCGAGAGGCGGGAGUCUCCCGGGAGCGGGCGGGGCUCGGCCUGCCCCGCUGGGCCCCGCGGGAGGAGGUGCUCGGCGGCGCCCAGGGAGAGCUGGGCCUAGCGGGGCUGCUCCCGGCCCCGCCCGGUAGCGCGGCGGGGCCUGCCGGGGUCUCCCACCCGUGGGCCGGCCCCGUCCCGCUCCUCGCCCCGCUCCUAGCCCCGCCGGCCCCCCGAGCGCAGGGCAGCGGACUGCCCGCCGCGCUGGGCAUCUUCCGGGAGCUGGCCGGGCUGGCGCGGGAGCCGGGGCCCGGGGGCAGCAGGGCGGGGGUGGCGCCGCGGCUGAGGACCGUGUACGUGAACCCCCGGUGGCUGGAGCGGCAGGCGGCCUUGGCGGCGGCCCCGGAAGGCCCGGUCGGGCCGCAGGGCCUGGAGGCUGCGAGCGGCUCGCCGGGGCCUCCGCCCGCCACCCAGGGGGAGCCCUGCCCGGAGGCAGCGAGUCCCUACGUGGGGCUGCGGAGACCCCUGGGCUACCAGCUGGCGAAGGCCACCAAGGAGCAGAUCUGGAGGGGGGAGUUCAUUGACCUGUUCUCCUUGCUCCACACAGAGCUGGCCCCGGAGCACGAGCCUGGCCAGGGGCUGGGGGACACGCUGGACCAGUGGGUCUCCGCCUUCCUGGUGUACGCCAGCGUGCUGUGCGAGAAGCACCCCAACAGGUGUGGGGCCAUGUUCAAAUACCUGGAUGUCAUCCGCAAAUUCCACGCCACCUACGGCGGCACUUCCUGGCUGCACUAUGACGAGGACUUCAGGCGGCUGGCGGCUAAGGACCCCACCAUGGCCUGGGGGGAUGUGGACUUGAAUCUGUGGAUAAAGUGGAUGGCCCCGUUGAAGCCAUCAGCAACCAGGGAGCCGCAGGCUGCGGGUGACCAGCAGGCUCCACUGCGGUCUCAAAAUUCCAGGACAGAUGAUAAAAGUCAGGUGUGCCGGGCUUGCAACAGUGGCACAUGCUCCCACACUGUCUGCGCAUUAAAGCAGAAAUGUACAAGGUGCCAGGGGCAUCAGGGUGCUGCCGAUGCAUGCUGUGCAGCCAAAGGGGAAGAGAAAGGAGGGCAGAUUGAAAGACCACGGAAAGCAGAAGAGCAACAAUGCUCAGAAUGUCACUCGAGUUGAGACAGGGCCUCACUCCUAAUAGUCUAGAGAUUUUUUUCAAACAGAUACAGAUUAUUUGGCUAAAAAAGUCAACUAUGGAUUCUUAGUUGACUGAUGCAGCAUGGUUUAGGGUGUAAACAAAGCUCCAGCAAGUUAGAACAGAACACUUACUACAAAAUGUGUUCCCUACUUGUAUUAAUUUUUUGUACAUGCUACUACCCAACAGAAAUUAGUUAUUGAUACUGUUGUAAUGUUAAGGCCCCCCCCAACAAUCUGUUUUUCCUCUUUGUAAAGAAUAUGUUGCUUCCCAAGAAAUCCUGGGUGGGCGGGAAAGAAAACCAGGAGACCUCUGAUUGUUUUAAAUAUGUUCCUAAUGAUAGAGUUAUUCAUAUACAAAACAGAAUGUGCAUGAGAUUUUGCUGUUGUCAUUUUGGGAGGUUUUGGCAUCUCCAGGUGGGGUGAAAGAUAAAAGCUGGUGAAGAAUGCACGUCAAUGCAAGUGAGAUAAACCAGAGUUUUGGUGGGCACGGUUUGCACCACUGCUAACGAAUAGAGGAUUCAGGUCAAACUCAGGAUUCAACAGAUGAAAUCCACAAGAGUUUUAGCCUGCCUUGGUGCAAAAGCACAAGAAGAAGGCCUUAUCUACAUUGAGGAUUUGCCAUUAUUACAGUCAUGGGUGUAACUGGACUGGUGCAACCCCUAAGGUACACCUGGUGAAACUUAUUCUAUUUGAAGCAGGGAGGGGCUCUUCCACCAGUACAUAUAGCAGUGCUGUCUGUGUACAUGAGGGGUUGCACCUGUCCAGUUAUAAUAAUGACUGAAAUGAAAGCAAAUCCCCAGUAUAUACAAGGUCAAAAACUGAAUAUUGAGUCUUGGGUCAAAUGUAUGCUAGUUGAAAGGCUUUGUUAAUGCAUUCACUAUUCUUAUUUUUUUUAAUUGUUUUGAGGACCCUAGGAGGCAAACUAAUUUUUGAUGCAUCCUUUUGGAUUCUUGCUAUUCUAUAUUAUAUUUUUAUAGUGACUGGCACAGAGCUGUUAAAGGGUGGGACUGUAGUGGCAUGAUCUGGAGAUAGAUAACUUUUCUAGAAUUGCAAGUAUUUACACAGUCACUAAGUCCUGUGUUUUGUACCAUAUCAAAACUGGUUUGUCUGAGCCAACUGCAAAAACAGUGGAAAUGGGUACCAUAGAAUGUGUACCAAAUAACAAGUACUAUAAUAGCUCCCAGUGCAGCUAUUGUGGCAUUAAUACAUUUUUGUAAUGAUAAUACUCUAUGCUUAUGCAAUUUGUUCUGACAUCUCUCUUUAGACUUCUCAUUUCUGAAAUGUAGCAGAUCAAUUUUUACUUCACUGCAGAUCUUACCAUGUGAGUACUCUAAAUAUAACAUGUUAGACAUAUUUUUCAUCCUGUUAGAGAUUGGAUUUGCAGUUUGUAAUCUUAAUCAGACUCUUAAUUCUGUUAAAGGUUAUUCUAAUUAUUGGUACUGGGUAUGGAACAGCUGUUGUAUUGAUCACGAGAGGGUUUGAUCCUCUUCCUAUUGAAGGCAGGGGCAAAACUCCCUCUGAUUUCAACAGGACUAGGAUUGGGCUCCAAUUUGCAGUGUUUUCCUAAGAAUUUGAGGAAGCUGUCAGAACUUCCUAGCAUAUACAAAAGUGUUAAAUGUGUGUGGGAGGGUUAUUUUAAAUGGGUUCAGAGAAACAGUUUGUUUGUAUUUUACAGUAAGGGCUUGUCUAAAAUGAAAAAUUGUAUCCACCUUAACUAUAAUGGUAGUUAACUCUACCAGUGUAGUUAAAGCAGUAUAGCUGCCCCUAGCAUGAAUGCAGUUGUGUUGGUAUAAAAGAUCUUAUACCAGUGUAGCUUCCCAUAAGGAAAUAAUCUCUCAUACUGUCAGAACUGCAUCCACACUGGAGCACAUACAGGUAUAACUAUUUCAGUUUAAAAAGAAAAAAUUUGCAUUCCUAACUGAAAUAGCUAUGCCAGGAUAUCCGUUAUGGACCAGACCUAAGUUAAAGUGUGAGGCUUCCAUGGCAGGGCACUGAUGAAGGCACAAAAGUGUCGUGGAGUUGCUUUCCUUAUGGGUGACCUGCAAAGGAAAACAUUUCUUUUCCUGAGCUAUUUAUUGCUCCUUUAUGAUGUAUAAAGAUGGUCUCCAAGAAAUAAAAGUUGUGUUGUCUGUUUGUGCUGGAAGACUAUAGAACUAAACGGAAUAGUAACAUCACAUUAAGCUUAAAUCUUUUUCAUUCUUGAAUGAGAGAAGGAGAUGCUGUCUUCACACAGGGAGCUUUUCUCCCAGCUGUUUGUUUGAAUAUUUCUUUUCAUUUUUUUGCUUCAUAAAAACAAAACAAUAAAAAAAUUCAGUUUUAAGCUAUGUGACUAAACAUUCUUUCCUUUUACAAUUAAAGGUUGUGAAAACUACAUUUUAGAUUUCAGUUUCUUGUAAUGUUUUAUCCCCCUCAGUUCUCCUGUUCUACAGAAGGUUGAUCACAGCUAGAACAAAAUCAAGACUUGAUAUUUCUAAUGUAAAAAUUAGAAUAACUUAAAAAAAAUAAAAAAACAAUUGAGGCACUCUUUACUUCAUAAGGAAGCAAUCGAAACAAUUUUUAAGGGCUGGAGUGAGAAACGAUAUUUUGGUUUUGGACUUGAUAGCAUCAGUGCGUCAAACUUAUGUCAAGAUUAAUUUUAGGUAAUUCUCAAUUCUUUUUAAUACCACAUUCAAAGAGGAAGCUAGUUGGAAGGGCAGUCCAACUAAAUUGAAGACAUAGGAGAUUCAUUUUACCCAACCAGCAGUUGUAGCAAUGGACUACAAUCAAGCCAAUUUGUUGGACAGUAGGAAUACUUGCAGUGCAGCAUUUGACACAGACUAUCCAAAGAGGGCAAAGAUUCAGGAGGGUGAAUGAGUUGAACCGCCUUUGCAUGAAGUCUGAAACAACUUCCGGAAGGGGAAUCCUACUCUAAAAUACUGCAUAGAAAGUAUAACUUAAAGUGAAUAUUGUAAUUACCAGAUUGUCCCUUCUCAUUCAAGCAAACUCUUUUGUGCUGUUCUGGGUCCUUAAAAGAUCACACCUGAAUAUUUCAAAAUCUGUGUACUACACUUAUUUUAAAAAAGAUUUCAAAUAUUUGUCUUUAUUAAUUUUGCCAUUUCAUGAAGAAUAUCUGCAACAACAGGUACUGAGUUGAAAUAAUACCCUACAUUCAAUAGAUCAGCAGCUGUUGACAGUUUUAUAAGAUUCACACAACAUUUCCUCUCUUUUUCCUCUGGGGGAAAAGAAGCAUUUAACUUCCAUUGGCACCUUCAAAGAAGCCAUAGGGCAGUCAUGCAUACCUCGCUUCUUCUCCACAUAGAGAUGACAAAUUAUUCUGCCUUGCAUCCCAAUAGUAUAUCUAGCAUUGUAAAUAUCGGGUUAUGAAUGGUUAUUGUCUGGUGCCAAUGAAAGUUAGAUUAGAUGGAUCAUGGCUUAAAUUAUUUUUUUUUUCCAGUGUUCUGUUUUUCUCUCCCCCUCAGCUCACAUACUAGGGCGUAUGAUCAAGGUGAUAAUAGUAUUAGGUAUCAGAAAAUCAACCAUUAGCUGUUCUGUUUUCCCAUUCUUGGUUGUCACAAUAUUAUGCACUAACUUGAAAUGUUUGUAAAUUCAUAUUAAAAAUGUUUGAGACCUCAUCUAAAUAAUUUUUUUUAUAUAAAAAUGUCAUGCUUAA